rfam:Medicago truncatula strain A17 chromosome 2, whole genome shotgun sequence.
AAACAACCCUCCAUGUAUUGGAUCUUUGGCAGUUUUGGCCCCAAGGCUACUUUUGACUUAGUCUUCGUUGACAUGGCACCCACAAUGGUCAACACGUGGCACUUCACUUAAGUGAUGUGAGUGCCACGUCAGCGAAGACUAAGUCAAAAGUGGCCUUGGAGGCCAAAACUACCAAAUAUCCAAUACAUAGGGGGCUGUUU